GCAUAUCAAUAAGCGGAGGAAAAGAAACCAACAGGGAUUGCCUCAGUAACGGCGAGUGAAGCGGCAAAAGCUCAAAUUUGAAAUCCCCCCGGGGAGUUGUAAUUUGAAGAUUGCGUCUUGGAGGCGACCGUGUCUAUGUUCCUUGGAACAGGACGUCACAGAGGGUGAGAAUCCCGUGCGGCACGGCCCCCGGCUCCUUAUAAGGCGCUCUCGACGAGUCGAGUUGUUUGGGAAUGCAGCUCAAAGUGGGUGGUAAAUUCCAUCUAAAGCUAAAUACAGGCGAGAGACCGAUAGCGAACAAGUACAGUGAUGGAAAGAUGAAAAGCACUUUGAAAAGAGAGUGAAACAGCACGUGAAAUUGUUGAAAGGGAAGGGCAUGCCGUCAGAUUGUCAGUGUGGGUAAGAAGCGGGGUACAAAGACUGUGGAACGUGGCCCUCGGGUGUUAUAGCCGCAGUUCAUGCCCCGUCUCUUUCCGAGGCCUGCUUGAGACACCGA
rnacentral:rRNA from 1 species